UCGUGGGGCAGCGCGGGUAGCAAUACCUGGCGGCGACCGGCAAACGGGUGCGGAACACGUACGCAACCUUCCUUUAAGUGAGGAAUAGCCCAGGGAAACUUGGAUUAAUACCUCGUAACAUUAUGAAGUGGCAUCACUUUAUAAUUAUAGCUACGGCGCUUAAAGAUGGGCGUGCGGCUGAUUAGGUAGUUGGCGGGGUAAUAGCCCACCAAGCCUACGAUCAGUAACUGGUGUGAGAGCACGACCAGUCACACGGGCACUGAGACACGGGCCCGACUCCUACGGGAGGCAGCAGUAAGGAAUAUUGGUCAAUGGACGCAAGUCUGAACCAGCCAUGCCGCGUGGAGGAUGAAGGCCCUCUGGGUUGUAAACUUCUUUUAUUUGGGAAGAAACCCAUCUUUUCUAAGGUGGUUGACGGUACCAGAUGAAUAAGCACCGGCUAACUCCGUGCCAGCAGCCGCGGUAAUACGGAGGGUGCAAGCGUUAUCCGGAUUCACUGGGUUUAAAGGGUGCGUAGGUGGGCAGGUAAGUCAGUGGUGAAAUCUCUGGGCUUAACCCAGAAACUGCCGUUGAUACUAUCUGUCUUGAAUAUAGUGGAGGUGAGCGGAAUAUGUCAUGUAGCGGUGAAAUGCUUAGAUAUGACAUAGAACACCCAUUGCGAAGGCAGCUCGCUACACUAUUAUUGACACUGAGGCACGAAAGCGUGGGGAUCAAACAGGAUUAGAUACCCUGGUAGUCCACGCCCUAAACGAUGGAUACUCGACAUCAGCGAUACACAGUUGGUGUCUGAGCGA
rnacentral:rRNA from 1 species